rnacentral:pre_miRNA from 7 species
CUCCACAGGGAGCAUCCCCAAGAAUCCUUCCCAUAGCCCCCUGUGUAAGACCCCCUUUUGGGGACCCCCCACUCUAGUCUCGGGAAAGAGCGCGCACCCAAAGAAACAUGAGAAUCC